rfam:Aedes albopictus isolate Foshan contig88964, whole genome shotgun sequence.
UGUUCUGUGGCUUAAUUGGUCAAAGCGCCGAUCUAGAGAAUACGGAGAUGUGGGUUCAUAUCCCACCAGAACGC